UUUCCUGACUGGUAGCCGGGUAAUUUAAAAGAUGGUAGAAAAUUAUUUUGGAGAGUUCUUUGUUCUCAGCUAGUGCUCUCAGGACUUGCCGUUCUUUUGGAACCUUUGGCUAAGUUUAUUUAUUUCUUUAUCUAUUUCGUUAGUCUGGGUUUUAGUAUGUCUAUUGAUUUUCAAGAUGUAGUUUCCUUUGUUUAGGAUUAGAUAUUCAGUCUUUUCAUGGACAUUAUCUUUUACUCGGCUUUACUAACGUUUGUUUUUUCUUUAAUAGUCAUUGUGGUCAAAGCACAUCCCUGGCUGCAAUGGAUGUCAGUCGUCGGGGGAAGCUGCUGGCUGGUUGAUAACAGGAAAGAAGGUGUUGAAAGGGUGGAGACAUUUUCAAGAACACCUGAAAGCUAGGCGGAUCCAGACCUACCAACUCUCAUACUGUCGACUGGAGACUCCUGACCGCAGUCCCUGAACUAUUGCCCCUGGGGGAGAGAAGAAAUUUCAGACCAGAAUAUCAUUAGGUUCAUGAAUUUAUUGGUUACGGUGUUAGAUUUUCAUUAGGGAUUUUCAAUAGGGAUUUCCUGGUUAACAACCGGAUAUACCAACUUACACAAGCAGGGCUAGACUUCAAAAGGGACAAGGGACCCGCAACUGAGAAAUAAAACAAGGCUUUUGAAAAAUUCUCCCAAUCAAUCAAAGGGGAGGGUACGCUGGCGACGGUAAUGCCUUAUCAAAGGAAUCUGUUGCUGGGGGAAGCAGGAAUUUAAUUGAAUUUAAAUGCAUUCAGCACAAAUUACUCCCUGGUUGCACGUGGCAGUCGGAAUAUAUAGCUCUUGAUUUACUGACGCUUUAAGCCUGAGUAAAUUGGAAGGAAGUUUAAUGUCUUCCCUUGUCGACUUGAGUAGCGCCUUACAGCUGGUUACUAUGCACAACCUAAUGAAUAACAGCAAUAUCAAUCUUGGAUCUAUAUUCACCUUUCAAAAAUAUCUCAUAUCUCUCCAAAGACAUUGACAGGAUUAGGUCUGGUAUACCACAAACACAAUUAUAUUGAUAUUGUGUGUAAUGAGCGUGGAAUGUUUCCAAUGAUUUCCCUGAUGUCUCUCUGUCUAUAAGUAUAUUUAUAUCCCUGUAUUAGAGGCCUAAACAGGAACUGAUGUCAAAGACUACUGAAAAUGAAUUGUUCCAACUGGCUGUGUGUCCCUCAUUGACCAGGAGUAGAUCCUCUCAUGCAAGGUUUCUAUCAGAUUUGGAAAACCAUCCUUAGCAAUGAAGGCUACUGGAUUCCAAUCUGUUCGAAAUGGAGCAAAGUACUGUAAUAAAGAAGACCCCAUCAUUUACAUUUGUCGAGAUUGAGUUUUACACCCCUAUAAAUCCCAGAUUAAGUAUUUAAAGCACUGUUACAGCAUUGGUGCAAUUGGAUAAAUCGUAAUCUUUGGCAUUAGGCAGUUUUCAUAGUGGAACACAGACUGUUUCAACUGGAUUAGAAAAUUAAAAUGGAAUUAACUUUCCAUGGAUUCAAUAUGCAAGUGCAAUGCAACAUUAAAUAUAACCAGGGAUUCUAUUUUCCAAUUCACCCGUCCGCAAAGCCUUGUAAAAACAAACAAACACACGAAAGCUGCAGUUGUAUGUGAGUCGUAGGCUGUAUUGUGAUUUUUAAUUGUAGAAGAGCUGAGAUUUGGGGAGUUAGAUAAAUUAUGUCAGUGGAGAACGAUGUUAAAAAAAAUCUUUGUUUGACAGGAGAGCAGUGGUGUCUGAUAAACGAUGUUGCUAACAUGCCAAUAGGGAAGCAGUUUAAGUAGGACGCAAAAAACAGUACUUUGAUGGAAGUUGGAAAAACUGCCCACUAUUUAAACUGUGGUCUGAAAAACUGAUGUAGCCUGCAAUGGAGAGGACACAGUAGGUUUUGAUUGCCAGUGCAUUAAACUUCAAUACACUACACUUCCACAAGCUUUGAGAUAUUUGGUCUUUUGCAAUGGUGAUGCCAAGAUAGUACAAUGUUCAAUGUGGUGCACCAUUACAGAAACCAAUUUUUGGGCAAAACAAGGACAAAUAUCUCCCCCAUGCCAGUAAUUCUGCAUUUGUUGUUAAAGAUUAAUAUUUGUGUACCACAGCACUGGAGAUGGAUUUCUCAUUUAAAUCCUUUUUAUUUUUUGUUAAUACUUUAUUUUCAUUCACCUGAAGCCUAAUUGCCACACUGCUACAAGUUGUUGAUGUAAGUACUUCCCUUAUUCACUUCCUGUCUUGGUUAUGUCACCUAAAUGUACUAGCUUUUAGUCCUGUAAACCAUUUAGCCUUGCUGAAUAUUCCAGCAACUGAUGGUGAACUGGUGACCAGCUAAAAUGGGGAACCACCACACACGUUUACUGGUUUCUUACUGUAUAAAGCCCUAGCCCAGGCUUACAGCAAUUAUAUUCAUUUAGGAGUGUACAGUCACUGAAAGGGGACCAAAAAUGUGUUCUUCUUGAACCAGUAAAUCCACUCUUUAAACAGUCUCAUGAAUCAGCUUGACCAUUUAAAAUCAGCAUGGCUACCAGCUCUGACCAGGUUAAAUCAGUGCCUGACAUUGCUGGAAUAACAGGUCUAUUGGCAAUUGCUAUUUAAGAAUGCCAAAGAGCUUGGUAGCCAAUACCUUGGUGGAAGUGAUAAUUACUGUAUGCAACACCACCCCAUGUAUUAUGUUGUCAGCUUUUGUGAGAGGAUAGGACACCAACCUAAAGUAGCCAGUGGAGGACAGUAGCGUACUGUUCUAAAGGAACAACAUUAUAUAAUGCUCCAUAUCUCUUUUCCUAAGGCCUGGGGACAUUUUCCUCUUACAUUUCAAGACAUGCCAAGUUGUUUGUAGAGGAGUGGGCUGUUUUGUAUCGCUCAGAAGCUGUUAAUGUACCAUUAUGUAACUAGGCAGUCACUUUCUUCUGUCCUCUUUCUCGGCUGGGGCGCUGGUUGUUCCAUUCUAGUAGUCUUCAUCCUAUAUUCUGCAGUUUUACCUUCCAUUUCCUCUACUUUAUCAGAUCAUUGGAUCGUUUCAUCUGAGAUUGUCAGUGGUGGGAGUUAUUUCUCUUUCAGAACACGUUUUUACUGUGUUUUAUUUUACAGCCCAUGAGAACUGAUGAUGGUUUUGAAGCAAAUAAGAAGAUAGAGAGCCUAAUACAGGCUCCUUAAAAAAAAAAACAGUUAGGAAAAGCCCAAGGAUUCUCCACUGUCUUUCCCCCCAGUGAGCACUAGUCCAAAUUUAAAAUAUAUUUUCACAUUUCUACAUACAGAAAGGUAAAACUCAGUCAAGUAGACAAACUUUUCAGCCAGUGCUUUCAUCAGUACUGACAGUACACAUUUCAGUCUUGUGAUUAAACUAAUUCACCCAUUCUUCGAAUCAAGUUGACUGCUAGGACACUGAUAUACAAGCCCACUUCCAAUCUUUAAUACCUCAGCAUAAGGGAGAAUUCAUAUUUCAUUACAGAAGCUUUAUUGGGAUUAGAGAGUGGAUUUCUGCUGCUUCCCCUCACCUUAACACUUCCCUGAAUCAGGUUCUUAAAAUCUGCAUAUGAGAAUGGGACAGGGUAGCAUCACUGGCAAGGCUGUUUCAGUCAGGGAGAGAGACUCAGACACAAGAAGCUGCAGUUAAGUGCUAUUGCACACGUUUAUUACAAACCAACAAACAAAAACACUAACACAUAAACAGGCACACGGGCCAAAACAAAGGGGUCACACAAAACACUACUGUACAUUUGUCCUACAGCGCAGCAACUGUUACAAGAUAUCACAUUAUUUUUACAUACAAUUACCCAUUUAUACGUUUUUUUUUUUUACUGGAGCAAUCUAGGUAAAGUAUCUUGCUCAAGGGUACAGCAGCAGUGUCCCCCACUGGGGACUGAACCCACGACCCUCCGGUCAAGAGUCCAGAGCCCUAACCACUACUCCCCACAAACCAAACCUUGCCAGUGUCUGCUUAAGCUUACUGUCUGCCUGGCCAGUAGGGUUCAUUCCCCUGACUGUCUAAUUCACCCUGCACACCACACAGUCAUGUGUAUAAAGGUGAGCCACCAUGGGUCCAGGGAUGCCAAUUUGUAUGGGCACAAUAAUAUCUUUAGUCUGCAUAGAGGAUUUUCCAGAAUUCUUCUUUCCUAACCUGGAACUCUGUGCUAUCACUCCUUAGAAUGCAAUAACUCUUUUGAAAGUUCUUGGCACCAAGGACAAUUGUUCUUGUCUGGAAUGAAUUAUAUUCUAUUAACCCUGUCUGACAUAGAUUCACCAUGAACUAUAGACCAUGACUCGCAUAGCUGUCAUUGUGAUAUCGAUUUUGCCCUUAGUUUAUGUGCUAUUGUUUGUAUUUUAACUUAAUAUAAAUUGAUGCUAUAAUUGAAACUAUAUACUGUUCCAAUAUGAAAAACUGCUGUAGUUAAAAGAUCUAGGAGAUUAUAUAGAUUUUAGCUUAUUGCCACCUUAACUUUCACAUGCUUUAGUUUUGGGGUUAGAGAAAGACCACAACGCAUGCCUGGGCAUUAAAAUAAAAAUGAAACAAUAUGAAAAUGUUACCGCAGUGUAGCAUUCUUCCGCUAGCUUCAUUGUAGCAGCCCUCAAUAUACAUCUAAUACAUUCCCUCUGUUGUGCCACAGCACCUCCAUUGAAGAUUACUCUGUAAAGAGUCCUUUUCAUGUUGCAUUUCCAUCUGCCACUGGGAUUGACUUGAAAGCAGUUUCAAAUCAGGCUUGUUCUUUUCCAUCAGUAGAGGUCAAAUCGAUUUUAAUUGGGACUAGUUAGGAUGCAGGCUAGCAGAGCACCAAUGCCAGAGAUGUGUUAUAUUGGACUGUAGAAAUAAAAAAAUGUAGGUAGACCAAGCUAUGAAUAUAUUAUACUGUCAGGGACUUAUUGGAGGUCAUUGAAUUGAUUUAUAGAUAGAAAUUAUAUGAAAACAUUGUACAUGCAGAUGAUCUUUGCCCAGUUGCAGAUUGGAUUAUACAGUAGACUGCAGAUGGAACCUACACAGCUCCAGUUCGACUGGUAUGAGAUGAGAUUAUGUUUUACAAACAUAAAGGUGGGAUCUCGAUUGCCUCUUGCAAUUGAAAAAAAAGAUGUGUUUGUUGCCUGCGAAAAUAUAUGUAUUUGUAUAAAAUAAUUAAACAUCCCUGUGUCAUUCACGGUAGAGUUUCAAUGUUGCUCUGACCGAAUAUAAUGUCGUUCUGGGUUCUCUCACGGUGAUGGAGAAUUCAGAUUUAAUUACAGAAGCUUUAUUGGGAUUAGAGAGCGGAUCUCUGCUGCUUCCCCUCACUUCAACACAUCUCUCCCACAACCAAAUGGGAAUUUCUAAUUAUUGGCAUCAUUAUAAAACCCUUAAUGCUGAAUCAAGUUCUUAAAAUCCCCAUCUGGGAGCAUAUCAGCAAUGCGUAGAAAACUAGAAUACAUCAUAUUUGGUCUUAAUAAGGAAAGAAAAAUGCAUUGCGAAAAAGUGUUUGCAUAAUAUCAGGACUUUUUUGCUACAUAAUUUUUGUCACUGCUCACAGUCUGGAGAAACUCGUUAAUUGCCUAAAAUAGAAAGAGUGGUAAGAUAUGCGGUGAAGAUAGAGUAAUAUGCCUGCAUCUUUUAGGCAGAGUGGUUCUGAGCCAGCUGCAUUUCAAUGUGUUUGCCGUGCCUGUUUUUCUAAAUAUCUUGAAUCGGAUAUAAAUUCCAUGUCCUGUUUGCUAACACGAUGCUUGAACUCUUGUCAUAGUACCCCAGCGCUCCAAAAGAUUUCCUUAGAACUGAACAAAAAAAAUAAAUAAAUCACUGUAAGUGAUGAAGCUGAAUGUUGUUAUACCCAUGCCAACAUGUAAUGAAAUGUGGAUUUAAAAUUCUCCUGUAAAACGUGAAACUCUCUUCAGAAUCUACAGUGUAAGACACAAAAUUUGAUAUUUGAAUGUAUGUUUAAAACUAUUAGGGUUCCCAUAUCUGCACUGAGGUUGACCUUUGUGUAGAGGGACAUAGGAAGUGAUUGAGAGAGAAACAUGAUACGUGUGUGAUUCUAAUAAGGAAAAGCAGCAGCUUCAUCCCUUUAGCAUACUUCCCCUGUAACAUCUGCUCUUUUGAAUAAAGCCACUGGAAUCCAAUCACAUUGUGUGCAUUCUAUUCAAGCCCUUACAUAGCAAAUUGACAAUAUUCUGCCAUCUGUAGCAAAUGCGUUCUGGCUGCAGAUUGUACUGUAAACAAUAUCACCUUACAGUGUUACAGAACACCCUGCAGUGUUUACAAGAAAAACUUAUGACCUGUUCACUGUAUUGCGGUGUUACAUUUUUUAACAUAAUCCUGAUUGUUUUGAUUUGGGUUUUUUUUUGGCUCAUUUAGGACAAGGAAAAAAAUAAAUAAAUAAAAAAUGUGUUAUAUCAAGAUCACAAGAAAGAAAUAUCUUGGGAUCUUGACAUUCCAAACUGUUAUGUUGAGAUCACAAGCUAAAUUAUCUUGUGGUAUUGAAAUAAUGUUCUUUAAUUGCAUGAUCCUGAGAUAAUUUUUCUUUUGAUCGCGACAUGAUACAUUUAAAAAAAAAAAAAAAAAAAAAAGUCCAUGUCUUCAGUGAACCAUUGUAUGGAGCAGUGUGUGGAGUAGUGGUUAGGGCUCUGGACUCUUGACCGGAGGGUUGUGGGUUCAAUCCCCAGUGGGGGACACAGCUGCUGUA